CAGAGCUUCUGAAUGACAACAUUCUGUUGGGAAAACAGGAAAACAUGUCUAGACCGUUUUACACACAGAUGCUGCAGAUGACAGCUCACUUACAAUGGUUUAAAAACAAUAAACAACACGUUUUCCAGCUUAUCAACACGUAAUAAGGACGCACAAUGUGAUAAUGAGAGUCUGGAGUGUCAAACGACUCACCUAAUGAGGCACGUGUUUGGACUGUACAGUCAACAGGCGCAACGAUUUGGGACGUUUGGACUACAUUUACUGGCGUGAUGGACAUCUGCUGCGGACAGACAGAGGGUUAAAGCUGGACAUGACACACUCGUCUGAAAGAGAGGAAGACAUGCAGGAUCCACUGACAAUCCAAGAAAAGAAGACCCUGACGAUGGGUUUCUGGGGCGAGCGGGGAUUGCCUCGUGUUGCGUCAGUGGGCAUCUGCAGGACAGCCAGGGUGUUUG